GAUGAACGCUAGCUACAGGCUUAACACAUGCAAGUCGAGGGACCGGCGCACGGGUGAGUAACACGUAUCCAACCUUCCCUUUACGCGGGGAUAGCCUUUCGAAAGAAAGAUUAAUACCCGAUAUAAAGGAUGGGGAUGCGUUCCAUUAGGUUGUUGGUGAGGUAACGGCUCACCAAGCCUUCGAUGGAUAGGGGUUCUGAGAGGAAGGGCCCCCACAUUGGAACUGAGACACGGUCCAAACGCAUACGGGAGGCAGCAGUGAGUAAUAUUGGGUAAUGGGCGCGAGCCUGAACCAGCCAAGUAGUGUGAAGGAUGAAGGCUUAUGGGUCGUAAUCUUCUUUUAUAUAAGAAUAUGUAUUAGAUGAAUAAGGAUCGGCUAACUCCGUGCCAGCAGCCGCGGUAAUUC
rnacentral:rRNA from 1 species